CUGGAGACACCCUGGUUGGGAAAUACUGACACAAGGGCAUGUUGGUUAUCUGGUAACUAAUCAUCUAGGUAUUACCAAAGGAACCAACACAGGGAGUCACAAAGGCGGAUCCGAGAGCACAUCCUUGGCAUUGAAGCUGCAAGGGAAGAAGUUGAUAUCAACAAAUUGAAAACCCUGCUCCUAGGCACUUCAAGGAACAUCAUUCAUGAGAUGGAAGCCUAUUAAAGAUCAUGUAUGGUGUUGCUCAGCAGUGCGAGUUCUGCUCGUGUGGAGAUUUCUCAGUAAAACGUGAGGAACGCAUGGAAUAUUCUAGAUUUAAAUAAAGUGUCUUCAUCCUCGGUGACAUCGAUUGAGCAGGUGUUUGCCCACCUGCCCGCGCUGUAGGAUAAAUGCAGCCCAUCGCCUCCAUUAACGGUGCAGACAGAAGAAAACAUGAUGGAUAAUGUGACUGUCUGCUACGUGCUGCAUGACCGGGCACCUGAAAUGGUUAAAUGUGACUGCGGGGCCAUCUAUUCUUCCUCUCCAUUGGUGGCGAGGAAGUAUUUAAUCAGAAUUUAUUAUUACGAGUGGAUAUUCACACGGAUG